GUUGGAGGCAGGAAAGGCCCUCGAGUGAUCUCCAGGGUUCAGGGAUGCGUUCUUUGGCUGCAGGUCCCGCCCAGCGCGUUCCUUCCUAGGUCCCUAGCCCACACAAAACGGGAGCACCACGAUUUUCUGCCGAGAAAGUUGUGCGAUCUCAACAGAAAACUUUCUUAAACUCUGGAGUGAGGACGUGGAGUCAAAAGAAAAAAGAAAUGGCAACCAUGAAAAGUUUCCAGACAUAAACCACCCAACCCCAAGUUGUUGCCUGUGCGGCAUCCCGCCGAGCCACUGCAGCCGUUCCGAGGACACCCUUGCUCUUUGCACUGCCGAGCCCUCGUGCCCUCCGUGUCACGCAAGGCCAGCCAACCUUGGCACGGAUUCAUCAUGUAUGGCAUGAUUCGCACUGGUUUUACUGUACAAAGUUUUCUGUUCUUAUGUGAAAAAAAUGGUUUAGUUACAGAAAACAAAGGACAUUUUUCUACAGCUAUUCCCUAGCGUGUAAGCAUUACAGUCGUGCGUCUUUGGGUUGGAUUGUUUAAAUAUUUGAAUUUUAAACUUGCCAUAGCUGAUUCAAGUUUCAUAGCAAAUCAUUCGGGGAAUUUUGGCCUGAGAUUUGGACAAUUUCCAGUAAUUUCUGAAAUAUCCCUAAAUACACAUUUUUACGCUA